GUCAGCCUUAAUCACGCAAAGUUCAGACUUGGCUUGAAGCACAUUGAAUAAUUCCAUUAAUUUCCACAGGAAUACUCUGCACCAUGUGAAUCUGAGUCCAAGCAUUCAGAAGUGUGAGGGGCUAAUCACAGCAGGACUUUUUUAGGGAAAACUGGCAGACACUGCAAGGAAAUGAGCACAAAGCCAUGUAGCCAUCAAUCAGGUCAGCACUGUUUAGUCUGCCCCAUCAGGCUGUGCCCUGCUUUCAGCUGGGAUGGAGUUAAUUCUAUUCCUAGUAGCUGGUACAGCACUGUGUUUUGGAUUCAGUGUGAGAAUAAUGUUGAUAACACACUGAUGUUGUAGUUGUUGCUAAGCAGUGCUUACUCUAAAUCAGUUUCCCAGACUCUGCCAGUGCACAAGAAGCUGGGAGGGAGCAUGGCCAGGAAAGCUGACUGGAACUGGCCAAAGGGUGGAAUAGAGGAUUCCAAAGUGGCAUUUGAGUUGCAUUGGACCAGUUUUUGUACAGAAAAUUUCACAACACAAGACAUGAAAGAAAGAGGAAGAUGUUUGGUUCACAGAGACAAAUGAGAAUGUUGCACUCUUGUGUUCUGUGGGCUGGAAAUACACUUCUGUGAGUCAUAAAUAUAAUUAAAUCAUGUCCAUCCAAGAAGUGUAUUCCAGCUGUAAUAUCCUUUUUUCAUGUAUGUGUGUGUUGGGGGGGGGUUAUUAGAAAAGUUCUUAUCCUGUGUUCCAGAUUAUUUUGGUUUAUGAGAUCCUGUGAAACAGUAAAAGCUUUGCUCAAUCA